UUCAUCCAGGCAGCCUGACCUUGACCUAAAGUAAAUUUCCAGGGAAGUCUUUCCUGGGAUUUGAAUUUGCAGUAACAGGUGUGAGGUUCUUUCAGUAGUUUGAUGAUCCUACAUGAUACUGCAAACAGGA
rnacentral:scRNA from 1 species